CUUGCAAUGCUCAUAUUCAUUCUGCAGUUCAGACCACUUUGAAGAAGCUGCCUAGGAUGCUACCUCUGAUUAAUGUGGUCCAUUUGAUUCAUUGCAUUAUAUAUAUAAAAGGUCCCUGUGAAAAUGACAGGAAAGCUGCUGCUGGUGGUCUUAGUAUACAUUACUAAAGACAGUGACUUUUACAUGAUCUCUGACGUGAAACUCACAAAUGAAUUGAGCAACUUUUCACCCCACAUUGUAAGAAGAAAGUUGGAAAAUAAUUCUGUUAGUUCACCAAACUAGUGUGUUUUAUGUAUUGGAAAUGUAUGAUUGUCAUUUAUUUCUUGCUACACUGCUGUUUAUAAAGAAGAGUGUUGAUUCAACACCAAGUCAAGUGUUUAUGGAAACUUAAUUGCUUCAGUUUUAUCUGUUGGUCCUGUCAAUUCCUGGCAUUGCUCUACCCAACACAAUGCUGUCUGUAUUUAUACCACUGAUGUCUUCAUAUAGAGUUGCUAUCCUGCUUCAAAUAUGGUUUUAAAAGAAUUUUGGAAGUGUUGGAAAGCAAAGAAUAACUUGAUUUGCAUGUGAGCCCCAAACAUGGGUGCCAGUUGGCUGCUUCUGUUCAUCUCUCUCCUAUUUUCAUGGAUUGUUCUCUUUCUGCUUAAGCUUUUUAGCAUAGUAGGAAAUUAUAUGCAGUGAUUUUUUUCCCCCUAAAACAAAAAAAACACUAGUCUAACAUAUAAUAUAACAACCUGAUGGG